rnacentral:lncRNA from 10 species
UCACGUCCUAACCCCUAGAAUCUAUGAAUAUGUUAGGUUACAGGGCAAAGGGGAAUUAAGAGUGCAGGUGGAAUUAAGAUUAAUUAGCUGACCUUAAGAUAGGGAAUGUAGCAUAAUUUAUCCAGGUGAGCCCAAUAUAAUCACAAUGGAAGACAGAGACAGAAGAAUCAGAGUCAGAGAAGACGUGGCUACAGAGGAGAGAGUGAUGAGAUGUGAGGAUUCUGCCUGCCAUUGCUGGCUUUCAAGAUGAAGGAAGGGGGCCAUGAACCAAGGGGAUGCCUCUAGAAGCUGGAAAAGGUAGGUGCUAUUAACAGUGAAAUGACAAUGCAAAAGCAAAGCAGAGGAAAGCACCAGCAAAGGACAUGCCUCGCUGACUGCAGAUUACAGUGUCCUCUACUCAAUU